UACGAGGGGAGCAAGCGUUGUUCGGAUUUACUGGGCGUAAAGGGCGCGUAGGCGGCGUGACAAGUCACUUGUGAAAUCUCCGGGCUUAACUCGGAACGGUCAAGUGAAACUGUCGUGCUAGAGUACAGAAGGGGCAACUGGAAUUCUCGGUGUAGCGGUGGAAUGCGCAGAUAUCAGGAGGAACACCGGUGGCGAAGGCGGUUCUCUGGGCAUUUCCUGACGCUGAGAAGCGAAAGCGUGGGGAGCAAACAGG
rnacentral:rRNA from 1 species